GAGACUCUGGCCAACCCUAACCAGAAAGUAACGGGAAGUUUGGUAGACGUGGUGAGGCUUCCGGGUUGGUGUGUGUGCACAGCCCGCCCGGUCACCUUGGCACUCGUACCCCCUCUUUACACCGUAUUAAAAUCCCAAAUACCGAUAAUCGCAGUCACACUCUACUUGAUGGCGGCAAGGAGUCAACCUCUAACGCAAACCCGUCAGCUUUCUCCAAAGGACACGUCUGGGUCGUGUUCAUUGUCUUCCAGCUGAGCCACGCUGCCCCUGCGGCAGCCUGCGGCCUCCAUGCCUGAGGCUUCGGCCCCGUUCACUUCCUUAGACGGUGGGGGUGGCGGCAGAAGGGCAGAGCUGGGAAUCCGCACGCAGAGCUCAUCGGAACCGCUCAGAACAGCCCUCCCCCCGGGCCAGACCCGACCAGACAUUUCCCGGGGAAGACAUGCAGAUGGCCAGAUGCUCAGCGGCACUCAUCUUCAGGGAAAUGCCAAUCAAAACCACAUGGAGUUAACACCUCUUACCCACGAGAAUGGCUACUGUUAAAAAAAUAAAUACUGGCAGGAUACAGAGAAACUGGCAGGGAGGCAACAGUGGGGGGCGGUCCUCAAAACCAUGAGACCUAGAGCUACCGCAUGACCCAGCGACUCUGCUUCUGCCUGUGUACCCAAAGAAUUAAAAGAAGGGUUUCGAUGAGAUGCCGGCACCCCCAUGUUCACGGCAGCACUAUGCGCAGCAGCUGAGACAGGGAAGCACCCUAGUGUCCGCGGACGGACGGACGAACAAAACGUGGUCCAUCCCCACAAUGGAAUGUUAUCCGGCCUUAAGCGGGGAGGACAUUCUGACACCUGCCACCACAUGGAUGCACUUGGAGGAGACGAUGCUACAAGGUGAAAUACACCUGCCAGAGAGGACAGACACUGUGACCCCGCUUCUGGGAGGCCCCCAGAGGAGCCAGGUGCUGGAGACAGAAGGCAGACCGGGGGCGGGCGCGGGGCGCCAGGGCUGCGGAGCGAGCGUGGGAUGGGUAUACAAUUUGUCCUACGAAUGGGGGCUUCUGGGGGUGAAUGGAGGCGGUGGCUGCACCAGGAUGUAAAUGUACUGAAUUCCACUCAACUGUUGGCUUCAGGAUGAAAAUGGUAAACUUUCUGUUGUCUCUUUUACCGCAACAAAAGGAUAUUUCAAGUCCAUACUUUUAAAAAA